GCGGAGUACUUAAUGCGUUAGCUGCGGCACCGAGGGGGGUAACCCCCGACACCUAGUACUCAUCGUUUACGGCGUGGACUACCAGGGUAUCUAAUCCUGUUUGCUCCCCACGCUUUCGUGCCUCAGUGUCAGUUACAGUCCAGAGAGCCGCCUUCGCUACUGGUAUUCCUCCUAAUAUCUACGCAUUUCACCGCUACACUAGGAAUUCUACUCUCCUCUCCUGCACUCAAGUUCUCUAGUUUCAAAAGCUUACUACGGUUGAGCCGUAGCCUUUCACUUCUGACUUAAAAAACCACCUACGCACCCUUUACGCCCAGUAAUUCCGGAUAACGCUAGCCCCCUACGUAUUACCGCGGCUGCUGGCACGUAGUUAGCCGGGGCUUCCUCCUCAAGUACCGUCAUUAUCUUCCUUGAGGACAGAGCUUUACGACCCGAAGGCCUUCAUCGCUCACGCGGCGUUGCUGCAUCAGGCUUUCGCCCAUUGUGCAAUAUUCCCCACUGCUGCCUCCCGUAGGAGUCUGGACCGUGUCUCA
rnacentral:rRNA from 1 species